ensembl:lncRNA
GUGGAUAUAGGGACAUUAAGGGAUGUGGGAACACAGGCUGCAGGAGCAGAAUGCUGUUCAGGAGAAGACAAGACGUGGGCUGCAGGUGGGACACAGGGGAAUGGGGUAGUAUGGGGACAUAGAGAGUAUGGGAGGAUGUGGGGAGCGGUUUGAGGUAAAAAGGGGGGUGGGGUGGGCAGAGUUUGCAGUGGUUUCAUUUCAUCCUGAGAGGGGACUGGGCGUCCCUGUGGCCCAAAGGUGGGGCCCUGAGCCGUUACCCCACAUGAGCCAUAACCCAAGAUGACCUCAUCGCCCUGUAUGUGCGUGACCCCAUGGCUGCACGUGACCCACAGCCCUGAUGGGAACCAUACCCCCACAUGACCCUGUGACUCCCUGACUCUUCCUGCCCCCAUCAUGCUGCGAACUGACGCCAUGUGGCCCAUAAUCUGGGAUCCUUGCCCCCACCUCACCCCGACCAUACAACCCAUGUGAUCCAUAACUCCAUGUCACCCCAUCUGUCCCUACCAUCCAAUCUGACCCUAUCACUG